GUGAUUAAUUUUUAUUAAAAUCUGAUGAUUUUCUAUAGAAAUAAAUUCAAAUCUAUUAAGUAUAUAACUUCAGGCUAGUGUCAUAAUGCAUUCAAUUUUUGUCUGCAAAAUCUGCUCGUGCACAUCUUUGUUCAAAGAACCACUUGCUACUUAGUGACCUUAACUGAAACAUUAAUUGUUUUGUGUGCCCAAAUUUAAUAGAACCUGGCUAUCAGGGAUGAUGUCACAAAGAACAUUGUUAUUGAAAUGCCAGGAGUUUGUUCUAGGUCCUGCUGUUCACUAAACAAAAAGCCAAUCACUGAGACAAUGAGUAUUGCCAGGGAAGAAGCCUUUAAUUGGGUGCUGCGGCCUGGGAGAUGGGAGAUCAGUCUCCAAUCCAUCUCCCUGGCCAACUAAAAUUAGGGAUUUAUGUGACAGGAAGAAAAGUAACCAUGUAUAGGAAAACAGGAAUUAGGGAGGGGUAAUGAAGCAGAGUUCAUCAAUAGGAAGCAGAUGGUUGGUUAGUUAAUAAUGGCAGGCGAGGGAUAUAACAUCUCAUUGUCCAGCUGUGUUGAUCUGGUGCUGGAUAUUAGACCUUCGUCAGACACAUAGACCAGUGGAACAGAAUAGAGAACCCAGAAAUUAGAUCACUCAUCUUCAACCAUCCAAUCUUCGACAAACCUGACAAAAAGCAAUGGGGAAAGGACUCCCUGUUCAAUAAAUGGUGCUGGGAGAAAUGGCUGGCCAUAUUGUGUCUAGAAUUUAUUCCUUCCAGUGGGUUCUUGGUCUCGCUGGCUUCAAGAAUGGAGCCGCAGACCUUUGCAGUGAGUGUUACAGCUCAUAAAGGUGUUGCAGACCCAAAGAGUGAGCAGCAGCAAGAUUUACUGUGAAGAGCGAAAGAACAAAGCUUCCACAGCAUGGAAGGGCACUUUCCGCUGCUGGCUCAGGUGGCCAGCUUUUAUUCCCUUAUUUGGCCCCACCCACAUCCUGCUGACUGGUCCAUUUUACAGAGCCCUGAUUGGUCCAUUUUACAGAGUGCUGAUUGGUGUGUUUACAAUCCUUUAUCUAGACACUGAGCACUGAUUGGUGCGUUUUUACAGAGGGCUGAUCAGUGCGUUUAUUUUCCUUUAGCUAGACACAGAGCGCUGAUUGGUGCGUUUUUACAGAGUGCUGAUUGGUGCAUUGACAAUCCUUUAGCUAGACACAGAGUGCUGAUUGGUGCAUUUUUACAGAGUGCUGAUUGGUGCAUUUACAAUCCUUGAGCUAGACACAGAGCGCUGAUUGCGUUUACAAUCCUCUAGCUAGAUAGAAAAGUUCUCCAAGUCCCCACUUGACCCAGGAAGUCCAGCUGGCUUCACUUCUCAAUAUGUAGAAAAUUGAAACUGGACCCCUUCCUUACACCACAUACAAAUAUUAAAUCAAAAGAGAUUAAAAACCUAAAUGUAAAACUCAAAACUAAGAAAACCUUGAAAGACAGCUGAGGCAAUACCAUUCGGGACAUAGGCCAUGAGCAAAGAUUUCAUGAGAAAAAUGCCAAAGGCAACUGCAAGAAAACAAAAAAUUGACAAAUGGGACCUAACUAAACUGAAGAACUCUGCACAGCAAAAGAAACUGUCUGCAGAGUAAACAGACCACCUACAGAAUGGGAGAAAAUGUUUGCACUGAUUUACUUUCACAAAGUCAGUUUGUGAAAGAAAAAGAGAACAAGUGGAAUUUGAAAGGCAAUGGCUAAUUUCUUAUGCAUCAGUGAAGACAUUGGAAUCCAAUAGAGUUGAGUGCAAAGCCCACCCUGCCCCAAUUCUGUGCCUAUAAAGACCUCAGGCUCAGCCAGCAGAGAGGAAAAGUGGCUGGAUGUUGAGAGAGGCAGUUUGACUCCAGAGAUGGCAGCUGGAUGUCGGAAAGCAGCAACUUGACUUCACAAGAGAGAGGCAGAGGUGACUUAAUAUCAGAGGAGAGCAACCUGCCCUUCCCAUCCCCUUUCCAUCUCCCCUCUUGCUGAGAGCCGCUCUCGUCACGCAAUAAAAUUCACCACAUUCACCAUCCUUCAAUUUAUAUUUGCGACCUCAUUCCUCUUGGGCACCGGACAAGAAUUUGGGAUGCACCAAGUGUGGACACCCACAAAGGCUGUCACAGUGGCCCUUUGCCAUUGCCAGCAGAGGGCAGCUGCCCCAUGCAAUAAGCCAAAGGGCUGGCUGAGCUGAUAACACACUGCUUUCUGUGGACGGCGGCGGAGCUAAAAGAGUAUUGUAACAUGCCCUCUGGGGCCUUGGGGAACCCCACCUGGAUCCUGCCAAGAGGCCUGCAUGAAGUUUGCUCCUGCCAGCACUAAAGCAGCCAGUUUUUUCCUGCACUCACUCACCUGCACACUUCCUCCUGCGAUGGGUGGGACACAGUCAACCUGAGUGAGCAGAGUUUGCUCAUGCAGGCACCUAAAUUGCUGGCAAGUUCCUGAGCUCAUUCGCUUCAAUUCCCGUACUCAUUUGCAUGGGUGCUCCCUCCCACAAGGGGUUGAACAGGACAGGUUGAGUAAAUGGUGCACCCCUCUUUUGAGUCCCACCAAGGGUCAAGAAAAUAUCCUGCAUCACUUUGUCAACUUAUGCCACUUAAAGGACAUGCUGCCUACUUUAGACUUAUUUACAAGUUUGCAUAAUUUUUAGACAUAGACAACGCCGUUUAUCUCUGCAAUUACUAUCAAUUCUAACCUAGGAAGCACCAAGUUAAUGGCAAUAAAAAAAAAAAGAAUAAACAACUGUUUCCAGCAACAAGGUGACUGUACCAGUAAUUAAUUUAUUGCCUUCCAGAGGCAAAUUCACUAUUGCCUGUUCUGAGAAAAAGAAUCUGGGCCCUUCAAAUAGCUGCCAGAAUGUAAAAACUUGCCAGCAGAUGGUGGUGGAGAGAUGCUGGAGGUGGAAGGGAUUUCAUCCCAGGUCUGGUAUGCUCCCUCAUCAGGCUCUCACAGUGGAACACACCUUCUCCAACACCUGGCUCCUGUUCAGCAGCACCCAGAGACCAUCAGCUUCCUUUUGCACUCCUUUCAGAUAAUUUAGCAGUUGAGUCUCUCUGGAAAAAUCAAUAGCUUUCCAUGACACCCCAGAGGAUGAAUCUCCUGCCUGCCCAAAAGGCAUAUUUUCAGCAAUUUCUUCCAGUACAGCCCCACUGCAACUACUCUGCCACCCAGUGAGAGCCACAUUCUCUUUUCUUUUUUUUCUUUUUUUUAAUUUUUGAUUUCCAACUUUUAAGCUCAAGGGAACAUGUUCAGGAUAUAGAGUGUGCAGUUUGGUACAUAGGUAAACAUGUGCCUUGUGGUUUGCUGCACAGAUCAUCCCAUCACCUAGGUAUUAAGCCCAGCAUCCAUUAGCUGUUCUUCCUGAUGCUCUCCCUCCUCCCAUGCCCCACCCUCCAACAGGCCCUAGUCUGUGUUGUUCUCUCCCCGGCAAUUCCUCAAAGACUUAGAGGCAGAAAUACCAUUUGACCCAGCAAUCCCAUUAUUGGGUAUAUACCCAAAGGAAUAUAAAUCAUUCAAUCAGGAACAUAUACGCAUGUGUACGUUCACUGCAGCACUAUUCACAAUAGCAAAGACAUGGAAUCAACCUAAAUGUCCAUCAAUGAUAGACUGGAUAAAGAAAAUAUGGUACAUACACACCAUGGAAUACUAUGCAGUCACAAAAAGGAAUGAGAUCAUGUCUUUUGUAGGGACAUGGAUGGGGCUGGAAGUCAUUAUCCUCAGAAAACUAAUGCAGGAACAGAAAAACCAAACAGUGCAUGUUCUCACUUAUAUGUGGGAGCUGAGUGUUGAGAACACAUGGACACAUGGUAGUGAGCCACAUUCUUACCCUUUCCAAUAAGGCUUGAAUCUCAUCUUGGUAGGGAGGGAGCAGUCUUACUGGAUGCUGUAUUUCAGCACCAGGGAUUGGAGAACACUCCCUCACUUUUGCAUCAGCUAAUCCUGUACUCUAUAAAAUUCUUUUCAUUUAUUACAAUCCUAUUCCUCCAUACACAAAUCUCCUGUUAAAAUUAAUAACUUUUAUAUCAAACUUCCUCUGUUCACAUUACUGUGUUGGUUUCUCCCUCCUGAUUGGAUCACAACUGAUACAAUUGGGUUAAAUACUUUUUCAUAAAAUAAAUUAUUAAAUCCAUUCCUUUAGUGUGUAAGUAUUUAGAGUUUACAAAUUACUGAGAUUUAAUUCUACAAAUUAUACAUAUUUACAAUCUAGGUGAAGGCACUCAAGAGAUAUUUAAACAUUUCCCCUCUAAGACAUCAGUUUAAAGAAAGACAGAAAGAAAGAAAGAAAGAAAGAAAGAAAGAAAGAAAGAAAGAAAGAAAGAAAGAAAGAAAGAAAACCCUUUGCUAGCACAAAACAGUCCCCAAAACCUUACUGUUGGGGUUGAGAAACUGAUACCUCCUAUGGCACUUUGGAAUGCUGAGUACUUUGAAUCAAAGGAGUUGAAAGACCAUAGAAGCAACUUCAGAACCAAUGUCACUCUGACCUCCUGCUCUUCUGUCUCUUACCCUCUUUCUCCUGCAAUAGUGCAAGGAGGGGCUCUCCCUGAACUUUCCUUAUCUGUCUAAAGAUUGGCCCUCUAGAAAGAAUACACUUGUCAUGAGUGUUUUUCCUGGGAAUCUCAUCAGCCAGGGAAAAGUAAAAGUAUCACAGGGGAGGAAACUGAAAGUUGACAACAUGCCCAGGCAGAUUUUAUCACAGACUAUCGCCUCUUUUUCUGAGACUGUUUAUUACCUGAAAGACCUUUUGUUUGCAUAACAAGACAACCUUUGUUCACCCUGCAUUUUCUCCCCUCACUCUCCCAUAACUUGUGUCACCACCAACCCUAGAAUCCCCAGGCCUGUAUUCCUUUCUUCAGCUCAAGAUGUUAUAUAUGUUUCAAUCAUCUGCCCCCUUUUCAAGUCUCAUAUUUUGUGGGACUCCUAUGUGUAUGCAAAUAAUUAAAAUGUUUUUUUCUCCUGUUAGUAAUUAUCAAACCUUCAGAGGAUAAAGAAAGUUUCCUUUCUCUAUAUUAAUAAUCUCUAGUCCCAACAUUCCAUUCCUCAUUCCCCAGCAUUCACACACACAUUUCCAUGCUGCUUUUCAACAAAAAGUUUUAUUUCCUGCAGUGUAGCAAAAUAACAUGAUUCUAAGUUCUCUUUUAUAAAAUCUGUUAGCUAUUAUAAUUCCUUCACUCACUUUCCCCUUUGUAAUAAAUUUUUCCCCAUCCAUUAAAAUAAUAUGGGCUUAGUAGAAUGCUUAAAAAAUAAAGAUCCACAUGAAAAAUUUAAAGUCAUGUAUAAACAUAUAAUUUAGUGAUAAUUAGUGUUAACAUUUUGGCUCAUUUUCUCUUUGCCUUUGUAAAAUUACAUUAGUCUUGGAUUUGUUUCUUUUCCUACCCCUAUCACAAAAGAUGCUCCUCUUCAUCCAUGGUUACUAUUUUAGUGUGCCCUAAAGGAUAUCACAGCUGAUAUGUCAGGCUACAGUUGUAACUUCCCUAAAAUUAUGACCUUCUUCUAUCGUUGAUGUUGUCACCACGUGGUAAUGAAAUCUUAGGAUAUUAUAAAUAGUUUGGUAUUUGAUUCUCAUAUUUAAUAAUGAAUCUAGAGAUUUCAGGGAAGAAAUAAAGUUGAUAUUGUUUGGAUAUUUGUUCCCUUUAAAUGUCAUCUUGAAAUUUGAUCCUCAGUGUUGGAGGUGGAGCUUAGUGAAAGGCAUCUAGGUCAUGCAGCACUCCUAGCACCUCCAAGGUCUGCUUUUUCAAAAGAGUCUGGAGCCUCCCUUUAUUCACUUUUUCCUUCUCUCUCACCGUGUGUUGGUUUCUCUCCUUUCCCUUCUGCCAUGAGUGAAAACUUUCUGAAGCCCUCAUCAGAAGCAGAUGCUGGUACCAUGCUUGCACAGCCUGCACGAGUGUAAGCCAAAUAAACCUCUUUUCUUUAUAAAUUCCUCAGCCUCAUAGUAUUCCUUUACAGCUAUGCAAAUGGACUAAGACAAGAGUUGAUCCCCUUCAACCACACAGAAAAAGACUUCCACUUUGUUGAAUUUGCUUCAUUUACAAACAAAACUCUAAUAAUAAUAGUAUACAGAGAAUUAAAGAAUACAAUUGAUCAUAUGCACUGACUUAGAAAAGGAAUGCACAUGGGAUGGCAAAAUAGAGAAGGCUUCUUGUGAGUGUGUGGGGGAGGCAGGAUAGGGUUAUCUGGGUCUUUAAAAAAACACUUGACUUAAGCAGAGAGGGCUAUGAGAGGGCUUAAUAAAAGUACAGAGGUAGAAAUACAGAAGAGGUAUAAAAAUAACAAAUAGUCUUAUGUGAUUACAACUUGACAUAUGUAAUUUAGCGGAAGCAUUUUCUACUUCUGAAACAAAUUAUGAUUAACACUUCCUGUAAUAGGUUUAUAAUUAUGUAAACCUAUUUAAAUCAAUCAUUUGCACAACAAAAUGAAUGAAUUAAUUUGUUGCAGCUGUGUUUACUGAGGCACACAUGUAAAGCAAUUUUAAAUGCUGUCAAGUAACAAUGAUUUCGUUUCAUGACUCACACUAAGUGAGAAAUUCUGAUUUUUUUAAGACAAAGUUUAAAAAAUCAAAAACUUAAAACUCCUGGAACUAAAAGCAUAGAAGAAAAGCUUCAUGACAUAGGACAUGACAAUGUGUUCUCACAUAUGACACCAAAGCACAGGGAAAGAAAGCAAAAGUAGAAAAGGGACUAUAUCAAACUCAAAAACUUUUGUGCAUUGAAGGACACACCUAACAGCCUGAAAAGGCAACCUAUGGAGUAGGAGAAAAUAUUUGCAAAUCAUAUAUAUCUAUACAUAUAUAUGGAUAUGAUAGUAAAUUGUUAUACAGAAAAUAUAAAAAGAACUUCUAUAACUCAAUAACAAAAAUCAAAUAACUUAUUUUUUUAAAUGGGCUAAGGACUUGAAUAGAUAUUUCUCCAAAAGUAAUACGCAAAUGGACCACAGUCAUAUAAAACAAAUAUUUGACAUCAUAAAUAAUUAGGGAAAUGCAAGUUAAAAUCACAAGAUAUCAUCUUACAUUCACUAGUAUGACUGCUAUCAAAAAAAUGAAACAAAACAGAAAAUAACAAAUGUUAGUGAGAAUGUGGAGAAAUUGGAACCCUAGUACACUGUUGGCGGGAUUGUGCAACCACUAUGCAAAAAUUAUAAAAAAUUAAAAAUAGAACUACCAUAUUACCCAACAAUUCCACAUCUGGGAUUUUAACCAAUACUUUUAACCAAAAGUAUUGAAAGAAGAGUCUCAAAGAGAUAUUUGAACACUCAUGUUUAUAGAAGCACUAUUUAAAACACCAACAAGUAGAAGCAGCCCAAAUAUCCAUUGACAAGUGAAUGGAUGAAGGAAAUGUAGUAUAUACACAUACAAUGGAAUAUUAUUCACCCCUAAAAAGGAAAUCUUGUCACAUACUACAGCAGGGAUAAGCCUGAAUGAUAUGCUAAAUAAAUAAGCCAGUCACAAUAAGACAAAUACUGUAUGAUUCAACUUCUAUAAAAUGGUGAUUACUAGGGACUGAGGUGAAAAAGUUCUAGAUAUAUGUAUUACAACAAGUUGAAUAUACUUAAAACUACUGAAUUGCACUCUUAAAAUGAUUAAAAUGAAGAAAAUACAUGUUUUUAACUACAAUUUAAUUUUUUUUAAAUCACAAAUUUAGUGAUAGGUAUGUGGCUUUAUAGAUGUUUUAAUCCAAACUUCACAUUUUAACAAUAAAAGUACUAGGACCUUAGAAGAUGGGUGACUGGUUUCAGAUUAUCCAGUCAAGAUGAAAAUUUAUGCCUUCCAAAUUACCACAUCUUAGGUGUCUUCAUCUGCUAGCUUAAUCCCAGGUUGUUCCUGGACUAUCUCUACAUCAAGCAGUGAAAGCUUAACUCCCUUCAUGUUUUACGAUGGAUAAAUAUGUGAGGUGAAAAUCAAGAGGCUAGCAUUGACCCAAUGUACAUCAUCUAUCAAGGAGACAAUGUUCGUUUGUUCUUUGAUGAAUCUCUAAGACAACAUUGUCAUGAUUUUGUUUUCAUCACACAUUUGCAUUAGGU
rnacentral:lncRNA from 10 species